CAUGACACGGGUUAUGUUCUCCUCAUAUAUGUUAUGAUGGUAUGAUACUAAACCCCUAACGGGAAGGAUUGUGCCUGAUGUUCAUAUGAUGAAAUCAUAAUCUUUCAGUCAGUUUAAUUGAAGUCUGGAGCUGGCAUGUCAGUUAACUGCUAGUAGUCUGUUGUUAUUUAUGUAUUAUUGUCAUUUUUGUUUAUUUUCUUUGGUUACAUCUUCUGACAUCAGACUCGGACUUCUCUUGAACUGAAUUUUAAUGUGCGUAUUGUUAUGCGUUUACUUUUCUACAUUGGUUAGAGGUAUAGGGGGGAGGGUUGAGAUCUCACAAACAUGUUUAACCCCGCCGCAUUUUUGCGCCUGUCCCAAGUCAGGAGCCUCUGGCCUUUGUUAGUCUUGCAUUAUUUUAAUUUUAGUUUCUUGUGUACAAUUUGGAAAUUAGUAUGGCGUUCAUUAUCACUGGACUAGUAUAUAUUUGUUUAGGGGCCAGCUGAAGGACGCCUCCGGGUGCGGGAAUUUCUCGCUACUGAAGACCUGUUGGUGACCUCUGCUGUUGUUUUUUAUUUUGGUCGGGUUGUUGUCUCUUUGACACAUUCCCAUUUCCAUUCUCAAUUUUAUAU
rnacentral:lncRNA from 1 species